rnacentral:rRNA from 1 species
GGGGAACUGAAACAUCUAAGUACCCCGAGGAAAAGAAAUCAACCGAGAUUCCCCCAGUAGCGGCGAGCGAACGGGGAGCAGCCCAGAGCCUGAAUCAGUGUGUGUGUUAGUGGAAGCGUCUGGAAAGGCGCGCGAUACAGGGUGACAGCCCCGUACACAAAAAUGCACAUGCUGUGAGCUCGAUGAGUAGGGCGGGACACGUGGUAUCCUGUCUGAAUAUGGGGGGACCAUCCUCCAAGGCUAAAUACUCCUGACUGACCGAUAGUGAACCAGUACCGUGAGGGAAAGGCGAAAAGAACCCCGGCGAGGGGAGUGAAAAAGAACCUGAAACCGUGUACGUACAAGCAGUGGGAGCCUCUUUAUGGGGUGACUGCGUACCUUUUGUAUAAUGGGUCAGCGACUUAUAUUCUGUAGCAAGGUUAACCGAAUAGGGGAGCCGAAGGGAAACCGAGUCUUAACUGGGCGUUAAGUUGCAGGGUAUAGACCCGAAACCCGGUGAUCUAGCCAUGGGCAGGUUGAAGGUUGGGUAACACUAACUGGAGGACCGAACCGACUAAUGUUGAAAAAUUAGCGGAUGACUUGUGGCUGGGGGUGAAAGGCCAAUCAAACCGGGAGAUAGCUGGUUCUCCCCGAAAGCUAUUUAGGUAGCGCCUCGUGAAUUCAUCUCCGGGGGUAGAGCACUGUUUCGGCAAGGGGGUCAUCCCGACUUACCAACCCGAUGCAAACUGCGAAUACCGGAGAAUGUUAUCACGGGAGACACACGGCGGGUGCUAACGUCCGUCGUGAAGAGGGAAACAACCCAGACCGCCAGCUAAGGUCCCAAAGUCAUGGUUAAGUGGGAAACGAUGUGGGAAGGCCCAGACAGCCAGGAUGUUGGCUUAGAAGCAGCCAUCAUUUAAAGAAAGCGUAAUAGCUCACUGGUCGAGUCGGCCUGCGCGGAAGAUGUAACGGGGCUAAACCAUG